rnacentral:misc_RNA from 1 species
GUUAUCAGGAGAGUAGGGUUCUAGCGAGCCAACCUCCCACCCGUGUUUACUGUACCUUAGUUGCUUCGGCGGGCCCGCCAUUCAUGGCCGCCGGGGGCUCUCAGCCCCGGGCCCGCGCCCGCCGGAGACACCACGAACUCUGUCUGAUCUAGUGAAGUCUGAGUUGAUUGUAUCGCAAUCAGUUAAAACUUUCAACAAUGGAUCUCUUGGUUCCGGCAUCGAUGAAGAACGCAGCGAAAUGCGAUAACUAGUGUGAAUUGCAGAAUUCCGUGAAUCAUCGAGUCUUUGAACGCACAUUGCGCCCCCUGGUAUUCCGGGGGGCAUGCCUGUCCGAGCGUCAUUGCUGCCCAUCAAGCACGGCUUGUGUGUUGGGUCGUCGUCCCCUCUCCGGGGGGGACGGGCCCCAAAGGCAGCGGCGGCACCGCGUCCGAUCCUCGAGCGUAUGGGGCUUUGUCACCCGCUCUGUAGGCCCGGCCGGCGCUUGCCGAACGCAAAUCAAUCUUUUUCCAGGUUGACCUCGGAUCAGGUAGGGAUACCCGCUGAACUUAAGCAUAUCUAGGGCGGGGAAGAAAAAAAAUUCCCGCCUUUCCUUUC